rnacentral:rRNA from 1 species
AAACGACUCUCGGCAACGGAUAUCUCGGCUCACGCAUCGRUGAAGAACGUAGCAAAAUGCGAUACUUGGUGUGAAUUGCAGAAUCCCGUGAACCAUCGAGUUUUUGAACGCAAGUUGCGCCCGAAGCCAUUCGGCCGAGGGCACGUCUGCCUGGGCGUCACG